GAGGAACGCUGGCGGCGUGCCUAAUACAUGCAAGUCGAGCGAAUGGAUUAAGAGCUUGCUCUUAUGAAGUUAGCGGCGGACGGGUGAGUAACACGUGGGUAACCUGCCCAUAAGACUGGGAUAACUCCGGCAAACCGGGGCUAAUACCGGAUAACAUUUUGAACCGCAUGGUUCGAAAUUGAAAGGAGGCUGCGGCUGUCACGUAUGGCUGGACCCGCGUCGCAUUAGCUAGUUGGUGAGGGAACGGCUCACCAAGGCAACGAUGCGUAGCCGACCUGAGAGGGUGAUCGGCCACACUGGGACUGAGACACGGCCCAGACUCCUACGGGAGGCAGCAGUAGGGAAUCUUCCGCAAUGGACGAAAGUCUGACGGAGCAACGCCGCGUGAGUGAUGGAGGCUUUCGGGUCGUAAAACUCUGUUGUUAGGGAAGAACAAGUGCUAGUUGAAAUAGCUGGCACCUUGACGGUACCUAACCAGAAAGCCACGGCUAACUGCGUGCCAGCCGCCGCAGUAA
rnacentral:rRNA from 1 species